rfam:Schistosoma rodhaini strain Burundi genome assembly, scaffold: SROB_scaffold0000319
AUCUAGCUGACGAAUCUCGAAUAGAACUAAACGCGUGUCUUGGAU